rnacentral:rRNA from 1 species
UACGUAGGGUGCAAGCGUUGUCCGGAAUUAUUGGGCGUAAAGAGCUCGUAGGUGGCCUGUCGCGUCGGCUGUGAAAACUCGGGGCUCAACUCCGAGCUUGCAGUCGAUACGGGCAGGCUAGAGUUCGGCAGGGGGAGACUGGAAUUCCUGGUGUAGCGGUGAAAUGCGCAGAUAUCAGGAGGAACACCGGUGGCGAAGGCGGGUCUCUGGGCCGUAACUGACGCUGAGGAGCGAAAGCGUGGGGAGCGAACAGG